rnacentral:rRNA from 1 species
AGUGAACGCUGGCGGCAGGCCUAACACAUGCAAGUCGAACGGCAGCACAGCAGUAGCAAUACUGUGGGUGGCGAGUGGCGGACGGGUGAGGAAUACAUCGGAAUCUGCCUAGUCGUGGGGGAUAACGUAGGGAAACUUACGCUAAUACCGCAUACGACCUACGGGUGAAAGCGGGGGAUCGCAAGACCUCGCGCGAUUAGAUGAGCCGAUGUCCGAUUAGCUAGUUGGCGGGGUAAUGGCCCACCAAGGCGACGAUCGGUAGCUGGUCUGAGAGGAUGAUCAGCCACACUGGAACUGAGACACGGUCCAGACUCCUACGGGAGGCAGCAGUGGGGAAUAUUGGACAAUGGGCGCAAGCCUGAUCCAGCCAUGCCGCGUGGGUGAAGAAGGCCUGGUUGUAAGCCUUUGUCGAAGAAAGACACUGGA